GACACUCCACUAGUCAGGGAAAUGAGGUGGAACCAGCAAAGAAGACAGAAACAACAGCCACAGAGCUAAAAAGGAGAAGCAAGUGAGUCUCCAAAACUAAGUGAAAAAGAUGUGUUUUGAAGAAAAGGGAGUGAGCAACUGUGUUGAGUGCUGAAGACAGGUCAAGUAUAAAGAGGGCUGAGAUUGGACCACUGGAUUUGGCAGCAUGGAGGUACCUGAUGCCACCAAUUCCUGAGUUUUUCUGCUGUUCAGUGGAGUGGACUAUCGCCUUCAAAUUAGCCUGGCCCUGGGCAGGAAGAGAGAGUACCUGGAUCACCAUGGCAAAAUCGGAGAAGGCGUCACAGAAGAGGAAGAUACGAAAUGAAGACCCUGAAUCAGCCCAUCAGAAGCAGGAGAUCCCUUUCGUCGACCUUCUCAUUCCAUCUCUAUGCUGGAGCAUUCUUGUGACCUAACCAUAUUGAAACUGCCUUUGCAAAAUAUGACUGAGACAGUGAAAGAGGUAUAACUUCACCAAUUCCAUCUUGGUUCUAACCUCCAAGCUCUCCUUGAUCAUUCCUAGGCAUAGGCUGAACUAACUUUGGGAGAAACUUAGUUUAUAGUUUACAAUUUAAAACAGACAUGGUAACAGCCCUUUCCUAAAGCAGGCCUCCUUCUUGCCUGGGAACUAGAUUGCCUCCGUAGGACUAACAUUAGCCACAAGAUUAGAAAUUAUGGUUUAGGAGUCACGCAACUGGAGGCUAUAAGAUUCUGACCCUCCCUAAACUGCUCCGGACGCCCAUUGCCAUGGCUUGAGGCCUAGAGAAGAGGCCCAUGAGGCAAGGAACUGAAGUCUUCUUCAGUCUUCCUACAUCCAGCAAGGAACUCAGGUCUUUUCAAUGAGUGCAGUCAGCUACCACUCUUGCCAAGAGCCAUGAGUGUCUGUCAUCUUAGAAGCCAAUCCUCCAUCCCAAUCAAGCCUUCAGAUGACUGCAGGCUUGGCCAACAUCUUGUCUACAACUUCACGAGACACUGUAAGCCAGGAACGUUCAGCUAAGCUGCUCCUAGAUUUCUUACCCUUGGAAACUGUGAGAUAAUAAAUGUUUGUUGUUUUAA
rnacentral:lncRNA from 10 species